rnacentral:rRNA from 1 species
GAUGAACGCUGGCGGCGUGCCUAAUACAUGCAAGUCGAGCGAACAGACGAGGAGCUUGCUCCUCUGACGUUAGCGGCGGACGGGUGAGUAAAACGUGGAUAACCUACCUAUAAGACUGGGAUAACUUCGGGAAACCGGAGCUAAUACCGGAUAAUAUAUUGCACCGCAUGGUUCAAUAGUGAAAGACGGUUUUGCUGUCACUUAUAGAUGGAUCCGCGCCGCAUUAGCUAGUUGGUAAGGUAACGGCUUACCAAGGCAACGAUGCGUAGCCGACCUGAGAGGGUGAUCGGCCACACUGGAACUGAGACACGGUCCAGACUCCUACGGGAGGCAGCAGUAGGGAAUCUUCCGCAAUGGGCGAAAGCCUGACGGAGCAACGCCGCGUGAGUGAUGAAGGUCUUCGGAUCGUAAAACUCUGUUAUUAGGGAAGAACAAAUGUGUAAGUAACUAUGCACGUCUUGACGGUACCUAAUCAGAAAGCCACGGCUAACUACGUG